rnacentral:rRNA from 1 species
AAUAUUUUACUAUGGGGGCAACCCUGAUCCAGCCAUGCCGCGGGUGUGAAGAAGGUCUUCGGGUUGUAAAGCACUGUAAGUUGGGAGGAAGGGCUUUAGGUUAAUACCCUGAAGUUUGGACGUUACCAACCGAAUAAGCACCGGCUCACUAUGUGCCAGCAGCCGCGGUAAUACAGAGGGUGCAAGCGUUAAUCGGAAUUACUGGGCGUAGAGCGCGCGUAGGUGGUUCAGUAAGAUGGGUGUGACAUCCCCCUGCUUAAUCUGGGAACUGCUUUCAUAACUGCUGAGCAAUAGUACGGUAGAGGGUAGUGGGAUUUCCUGUGUAGCGAUGAAAUGCGUAGAUAGAGGAAGGAACCCCAGUGGCGAAGGCGACUACCUGGACUGAUUCUGACACUGGGGUGCGAAAGCGUGGGGAGCAAAC